GAUGAAGAACGUAGUGAAAUGCGAUAAGUAAUGUGAAUUGCAGAAUCCAGUGAAUCAUCGAAUCUUUGAACGCACAUUGCGCCCGCCAGCAUUCUGGCGGGCAUGCCUGUUCGAGCGUCAUUUCAACCCUCGACCUCCCUUUGGGGAAGUCGGCGUUGGGGACCGGCAGCACACCGCCGGCCCUGAAAUGGAGUGGCGGCCCGUCCGCGGCGACCUCUGCGUAGUAAUCCAACUCGCACCGGAACCCCGACGCGGCCACGCCGUAAAACACCCAUCUUCUGAACGUUGACCUCGAAUCAGGUAGGACUACCCGCUGAACUUAAGCAUAUCAAUAAGCGGAGGA
rnacentral:misc_RNA from 1 species